CCUACGGGAGGCAGCAGUGAGGAAUAUUGGUCAAUGGGCUUACGCCUGAACCAGCCAAGUCGCGUGAGGGAAGACUGCCCUAUGGGUUGUAAACCUCUUUUGUCAGGGAGCAAUUGGCGCUACGUGUAGCGUUAUCGAGAGUACCUGAAGAAAAAGCAUCGUCUAACUCCGUGCCAGCAGCCGCGGUAAUACGGAGGAUGCGAGCGUUAUCCGGAUUGAUUGGGUUUAAAGGGUGCGUAGGCGGAAUGCCAAGUCAGCGGUAAAAUCGCGGGGCUCAACCUCGCUCCGCCGUUGAAACUGGCGUUCUUGAGUGGGCGUGAAGUAUGCGGAAUGCGUGGUGUAGCGGUGAAAUGCAUAGAUAUCACGCAGAACUCCGAUUGCGAAGGCAGCAUACCGGCGCCCAACUGACGCUGAAGCACGAAAGCGUGGGUAUCGAACAGGAUUAGAUACCCUUGUAGUC
rnacentral:rRNA from 1 species